UCUUGAACAUUUUUCAUUUUAUUAAGAAAAGAAAAGAAUAUAGAAAAUAAAAGAAAUAUAAGUUGUCAUCUUGUAGGAAAAGAUGACAAGGCUUAUCUUUGAUUUGGUUCAAUUUAUGAUAAGGGUUUAGGUAAGGUGUAAGGAGAGGGAAUGGUGGGAUUUAGCUUAAUUUGUGGGAUAGGAAUUUAACUUUUCACACUUGAGUCAUCUUCCUAAGGUUAGGUCACUAGAGGCUAUAAAUAGAAGAACAUGAGAGCCUUGGGAAUUCUUUUGUUGGCUGCUGAAAUUCAGGAGGAGAAGAAAAGAGAGAGAGAACUCGUGGGAGAAAGAAAGAAGAAAAAGGAAGAAGGGCUCGAGGUCUCUAAGGUUCUAAUCCCACAAGAGCAUAAGGAUUGUUGUUAGGGUUUUGACCAACAAGAGGGUGUUGGAGGCUAGCAAAACGAGGGUGAUCAUAACUAUUUUUGGGUUCUUUGAUUUCUAUCAAAGGAGGCUCGUUGAGAAGUUUUCGUUUUACUUAGCUUGGACCUGAGGUAGCAAAUAUGUUUCUCUAUGGCACACGUGGUGAUGUGGGAAGUUUUGUCAUCCUGGUGUGUAUGGCGUGGGGGCAUCCAAUGGACGAGAAACGAUCAGUUUAAAACACCAUUUUCUUGUAAUAAUGUUAUGUUUAAUGGGAUUUUUUUAAAAUUUAUCGGCAGGACUUGAACUUUUGGUUGUUUAAAAACUUUGCAUGAAAAACUAAUAUUUUCUUUUUAAACUAUUGGGCCCAACUUGCAUGUUUUUAGCAAGACCCCACUGAAAUCUUUAUAAGAAGUGGCUUUCUCUUAUAAACCAA